rnacentral:rRNA from 1 species
GACGGAGGAUGCAAGCGUUAUCCGGAAUGAUUGGGCGUAAAGCGUCCGCAGGUGGCAGUUCAAGUCUGCUGUCAAAGACCGGGGCUUAACUUCGGAAAGGCAGUGGAAACUGAACAGCUAGAGUAUGGUAGGGGCAGAGGGAAUUCCCGGUGUAGCGGUGAAAUGCGUAGAGAUUGGAAAGAACACCGAUGGCGAAGGCACUUUACUAGGCUAUUACUAACACUCAGAGACGAAAGCUAGGGUAGCAAAUGGG